UACGUAGGGUGCAAGCGUUGUCCGGAAUUAUUGGGCGUAAAGAGCUCGUAGGCGGUUUGUCGCGUCUGCUGUGAAAACUCGGGGCUUAACCCCGGGCCUGCAGUGGGUACGGGCAGACUAGGGUGCGGUAGGGGAGACUGGAAUUCCUGGUGUAGCGGUGGAAUGCGCAGAUAUCAGGAGGAACACCGAUGGCGAAGGCAGGUCUCUGGGCCGCAACUGACGCUGAGGAGCGAAAGCGUGGGGAGCGAACAGG
rnacentral:rRNA from 1 species